rnacentral:rRNA from 1 species
GAGUUUGAUCCUGGCUCAGGAUGAACGCUAGCUACAGGCUUAACACAUGCAAGUCGAGGGGCAGCAUGAACUUAGCUUGCUAAGUUUGAUGGCGACCGGCGCACGGGUGAGUAACACGUAUCCAACCUGCCGAUGACUCGGGGAUAGCCUUUCGAAAGAAAGAUUAAUACCCGAUGGCAUAGUUCUUCCGCAUGGUAGAACUAUUAAAGAACUUCGGUCAUCGAUGGGGAUGCGUUCCAUUAGGUUGUUGGCGGGGUAACGGCCCACCAAGCCUUCGAUGGAUAGGGGUUCUGAGAGGAAGGCCCCCCACAUUGGAACUGAGACACGGUCCAAACUCCUACGGGAGGCGGCAGUGAGGAAUAUUGGUCAAUGGACGAGAGUCUGAACCAGCCAAGUAGCGUGAAGGAUGACUGCCCUAUGGGUUGUAAACUUCUUUUAUACGGGAAUAAAGUGAGGCACGUGUGCCUUUUUGUAUGUACCGUAUGAAUAAGGAUCGGCUAACUCCGUGCCAGCAG